rnacentral:ncRNA from 1 species
UGGUCCUAACCUUGAAUCAAUUUUUACUGUACAUACACAUGCAAGUCUCCGGACCCCCGUGAAAACGCCCUUAAACUUCCUGCUAGGAACAAGGGAGCUGGUAUCAGGCACAACUUCUGCCCAAAACACCUAGCUACGCCACACCCACAAGGGAAUUCAGCAGUGAUUAACAUUGAAUAUUAGCGUCAGCUUGAUUCAGUUAAAGUAAAUAGAGCCGGCCAAUCUGGUGCCAGCCGCCGCGGUUACACCACGUGGCUCAAAUUGAUUUUUACCGGCGUAAAGCGUGAUUAAAGUCAACCCCCUAUUGAAGUCAAAUUUAAACUAAGCCGUGACACGCUUGUUCUUUAGAAGCACAAAAACGAAAGUUACUUCAUCUUAACCUACUUGAAUACACGACAGCUUGAGCACAAACUGGGAUUAGAUACCCCACUAUGUCCAGCCGUAAACUUUAAAUUACUCCUUAUACCGCCAGGGAACUACGAGCUAAGCUUAAAACCCAAAGGACUUGACGGUACCCCAUGUCCCUCUAGAGGAGCCUGUCCUAUAAUCGAUAACCCCCGUUUAACCUCACCAUUUUUGGCUAAUCAGUUUGUAUACCUCCGUCGCCAGCUUACCCCGUGAGCGAAUCUUAGUGAGCCUAACGCCCAUACGCCAAUACGUCAGGUCAAGGUGCAGCAAAUAAAAUGGAAAGAGAUGGGCUACACUUUCUAAUAUAGAAAAUACGAAAAACUACCUAUGAAAUCCUAGUUUGAAGGCGGAUUUAGUAGUAAAAAGAAACCAGAGAGUUCUUUUUAACAAGGCCCUGGGGUGUGUACACACCGCCCGUCACCCUCUUCAAAGCCAAAUACCAGUUAUUAACAAAAUCUGCUUAACAGAAGAGGCAAGUCGUAACAUGGUAAGCAUACCGGAAGGUGUGCUUGGAAU